CAGUAGCCACGGUAAUACAGAGGGUGCGAGCGUUAAUCGGAUUUACUGGGCGUAAAGCGUGCGUAGGCGGCUUUUAAGUCGGAUGUGAAAUCCCUGAGCUUAACUUAGGAAUUGCAUUCGAUACUGGGAAGCUAGAGUAUGGGAGAGGAUGGUAGAAUUCCAGGUGUAGCGGUGAAAUGCGUAGAGAUCUGGAGGAAUACCGAUGGCGAAGGCAGCCAUCUGGCCUAAUACUGACGCUGAGGUACGAAAGCAUGGGGAGCAAACAGGAUUAGAUACCCCUGUAGUCCCUGUCUCUUAUACA
rnacentral:rRNA from 1 species